UACGUAGGUGGCAAGCGUUGUCCGGAAUUACUGGGUGUAAAGGGAGCGCAGGCGGGAAGCCAAGUCAGCUGUGAAAACUACGGGCUUAACUUGUAGACUGCAGUUGAAACUGGUUUUCUUGAGUGAAGUAGAGGUUGGCGGAAUUCCGAGUGUAGCGGUGAAAUGCGUAGAUAUUCGGAGGAACACCGGUGGCGAAGGCGGCCAACUGGGCUUUAACUGACGCUGAGGCUCGAAAAUGUGGGGAGCAAACAGG
rnacentral:rRNA from 1 species